rnacentral:rRNA from 1 species
UACAGAGGGUGCGAGCGUUAAUCGGAAUUACUGGGCGUAAAGCGUGCGUAGACGGCUAUCUAAGUCGGGCGUGAAAGCCCCGGGCUCAACCUGGGAAUUGCAUUCGAGACUGAAUAGCUAGGGUGCGGUAGAGGGAAGCGGAAUUUCCGGUGUAGCGGUGAAAUGCGUAGAUAUCGGAAGGAACAUCAGUGGCGAAAGCGGCUUCCUGGACCAGCACCGACGUUCAGGCACGAAAGCGUGGGGAGCAAACAGG